AUACUUACCUGCAAGGGAGGUGCCAUGAUCACAAAGGUGGUGUUCCCAGGGCGAGGCUUCUCCAUUGCACUCCAAAUGUGCAGACAGACCCCUGCGAUUUCCCCAAUCUGGGAAACUCGACUGCAUAAUUGGUGUGGGGGGGGGGGACUUGUUAAGUUCUCCCCUG